rnacentral:rRNA from 1 species
GAGUUUGAUCAUGGCUCAGGAUGAACGCUAGCGGCAGGCUUAACACAUGCAAGUCGAGGGGUAUAGUUCUUCGGAAUUAGAGACCGGCGCACGGGUGCGUAACGCGUAUGCAAUCUACCUUUCACAGAGGGAUAGCCCAGAGAAAUUUGGAUUAAUACCUCAUAGUAUAACGACUCUGCAUGGAGAUGUUAUUAAAGUCACAACGGUGAAAGAUGAGCAUGCGUCCCAUUAGCUAGUUGGUAAGGUAACGGCUUACCAAGGCUACGAUGGGUAGGGGUCCUGAGAGGGAGAUCCCCCACACUGGUACUGAGACACGGACCAAACUCCUACGGGAGGCAGCAGUGAGGAAUAUUGGACAAUGGGCGCAAGCCUGAUCCAGCCAUGCCGCGUGCAGGAUGACGGUCCUAUGGAUUGUAAACUGCUUUUGCACAGGAAGAAACAACGCUACGUGUAGCGUCUUGACGGUACUGUGAGAAUAAGGAUCGGCUAACUCCGUGCCAGCAGCCGCGGUAAUACGGAGGAUCCAAGCGUUAUCCGGAAUCAUUGGGUUUAAAGGGUCCGUAGGCGGUUUAGUAAGUCAGUGGUGAAAGCCCAUCGCUCAACGGUGGAACGGCCAUUGAUACUGCUAGACUUGAAUUAUU